rnacentral:lncRNA from 1 species
AUGGAGUGUGUUAAAAUUGUUAAGAGUAAGGCCUACUUUAAGAGAUACAGAUGACAUUUAGAAGACCAGUGGGUUAAACUGAUUACUAUGCUCAGACACACUUGGUAAUCCAGGAUGAAAAUAAGUAGAACACACCAAAAUUCAGGAUAGUUCAUGCAACUAACAGAGAGAUCAUUUGUCAUAUGGUUUUUGCCCACACAGAAGGGAAUAUGAUUGUCUGCACAGCAUAUGUUCAUGAAUGUCUAAAGUGUAGCAUGAAGGUUGGCCAGCCAGAUUAUGAUGCAGCACAUUGUACUGGCCUGUGCUGACCCGAAGGCCCCUCAAUAGUCUUGGCAUGGACAACACCUAUGAAGGUCAAGUGGAGGUGAGCAGAGAUGGGUAUCACAUGGGAAGCAUUGAUGGUUACUUGGUGCCUUCACUUGCUACUUGCCAGAACUACCAACGGAAAUAAAGGUAGGGGGGCCCUGAAGGGAGGUGUGGAUUGAGGUUUUCUAUCCCUCACAGUUACCAAACAAUUCCCUGGUUCCAAUUCAGAAAGCAGGGAGUUCAAUGCAGAAGCACAUCCUGGGUCAGAAGAUCGCAGAUUAUAUGCAUUACCCAAUGUAAGAAGAUGAAGAUGUUUACAAGAAACAAUUUUCUCAAUACAUAAAGAACAACAUAACUCCAGUCAUGACGGAGAGACAUGUAAGAAAGCUCAUGAUGCUGAACAAGAGAAUCCAGUUCACGAGAGGAAGCCUGGGGAAGAAGUUAAGAAAAGGUGGAACCAUCCCAAGACGUCCCCUGUCCAGAAGAAAGACUGAGUAGCUCAGAAGGCAAGUUUUCUAAGAGCUCAGGAGCAGGCUGCUGAGCGCUAA